CCCCCUCCCAAGCCCCCCCUGUCUCCCAACCUCAAGCUGAUGAUGAGGAGGUCAGCUAGUGCCCAGAACCACUAAUUCUCAUGCCGAAUUCAGUCUGUUUGCUUUGUUCGUUAGUUUGUAACUUUGUAUGGUCCGAAUUUCUACAACUAGUUCAACUAUGUUAAUUUGCACCCCUGUUUUAUUGUUUAUGUACCAUGUACAAUCUCUUUUCAGAGAUGCCUGUCCACAUAUCUAACUUUGUUCUACCUUUCUAGAAACAUGUCUGUUUCCGUGGUGUAUCUCUAUGGCCAGUUCCCUGUUAUUUCUAUGCCAAAGUCACUUAAUGAAUUGUUAAAUCAAGUAAUUCAAACUUUGCAUCUGCACGCGCACAUCAAGUAAUUCUUAAAGCGUGCGGGUUUGCUCUUGUGCGCUUACGUCUGGCCUCACUUGCAUCUGCACAAUGCUGCAUGGUUGAGCGGCACCCCGUUGCCGUUGGAGAUAUAAUGCAAACACCAAUUUCUGCGCCUGUUGGGGCGGGGUGCUGUUUUCUGGACCUGGUGCUAAUGCUGGGGUAGAUAGUCUUUUGUCUUGUUCAUCUUAAUCCACAGUUUCUAGACAACUUAGCACUUGAUAUAAGCAGUUUUUAAGAAGCGGGCAGGGACUGGACUAUCCAGUGGUAUAGGAUAGUUGAUUCUGAUUACACAUUUAUGUGUCUGUCUGUGUGCGUGUGUCUGUGUCCUGCAUGUUUCAUUUUUUUAUGUUGUCAAUCGUAGCCAGUUCUCCUGGGAUCGGACAAUAUGGAUACAGGUUGGUGGUAUCCAUUGUAAGAGGUAUUUAUAACAAUUUUGUUCGUUAAAAAAUAUUUUUGAAUGAUGCUUGAGAUAGGAUGGAAACUGGAGUUAAUUGCCAGAGACAGAGUGUCAGAGUUCAGAUGUGAUUUUGUUAACUGAAUUAUGUGCUACAGAAUAUAAUUAGCUGAUUUAAACUGCUAUUUUCCUUCGCCUAAUCAAAUGCCCUUUGAUUUUGCAGUAUGCAUACCCAAGUCAAGCUUGUGGUCACGAUGAAGGUGCUGAUCCGGGUUUCCUAUCUUCAGAACUUAGUGCAGAGCCCAGCCCCAGCAGCAGCGGCUAUGCUGGCGAGCAGGGCAGCAGCGUUGCCUCCAGCGCCAGCAUCGAGGAGCCUUACCCCGCCCCCGGCGCCAUGGACUCGUGCGCGACAAGAAGCACGCCAACGAGACCAAGAAGGUGGCCAUGGCUGGGCUCGUUCACCAUUCGUUCAACUUCAGAGCUCAUCAGCGCACCUGCUUCGACGCUGACCCAUCCGUCGUCAUCGCCUUCGAUGACGACGAGGACACCGCAGGCGCCGUCGGCCUCGGCGGCGGCUUCCACCACUACCACAUCGUCGUCACCUACCAGGGCGUCAAGGGGUGAAUUGAUUUGAUCGUUAAUAUGUGGCUGGAUGUGAUGUUUUGCAGGUUGAAGACGCUAAGGUGUUGGAGACGUGCAUGUACUUGUUGAGCGUUUUAUCUGUAGAGGGCUAUAUUGUGAUUGGUGUAAUAUUGUAUGGUUAUAUUGUGAUUGGUGGAAUGUAAUAAACUUGAUUGAUACAUCGGUG